rnacentral:lncRNA from 1 species
GGAGAAUGAGGAGAGCCUGACUGGACGCAUGAAAGGAGGUGGAAGAAUAGGUCCAUCUCAGCGAGGAGCCUUUGGAGGCUAUCCAACAAUGAUGAACAUGCCAGCUUACCAACCUAUGCCAGCUAUGGGAGGAAUGCUGUCACCAACCGUGCCAAUGAUGCCAGGCCUAGGUGGAAUGGGAGCAAUGCCAGCUAUGGUUAUGCCACAGGCUCAGACCAUCAUGCCAACGCUGGAUCCUAAUCAAGCAGCAGCGCAGCAGCAGGCCUUCAUCAACCAGCAGGCUCUGCUGAUGGU